GUGCUCGCUUUGGCAGCAUAUAUACUAAAAUUAUAACAAUACAGAGAAGAUUAGCACGGCCCCUGCGCAAGGAUGACACGCAAAUUCGUGAAGCAUUCCAUAUUUUU
ensembl:snRNA U6 U6 spliceosomal RNA